GUUACGGUGACAUAGGUGGUUAGGGCAUCUGCCUCAGAUGCGGGAGGUCGCGGGUUCAAAUUCCGACCGAAUCAUAACA